rnacentral:rRNA from 1 species
AUUGAACGCUGGCGGCAGGCCUAACACAUGCAAGUCGAGCGAGCGGCGGACGGGGGAGUAAUGUAUGGGGACUGCCCGAUAGAGGGGGAUAACUACUGGAAACGGUGGCUAAUACCGCAUACUAUCGGAUAACCCAUAUGUGAUUGGCUGGUAGGUGGGGUAAAGGCUCACCUAGGCGACGAUCUCUAGCUGGUCUGAGAGGAGGAUCAGCAACACGGGAACUGAGACACGGCCCAGAUUCCUACGGAGGCAGCAGUGGGAAAUAUUGGACAAUGGGCGCAAGCCUGAUGCAGCAAUGCCGCGGGUAUGAAGAAGGCCUUAGGGUGGUAAAGUACUUUAAGCGGGGAGGCGUUACCCGCAGAAGAAGCACCGGCUAACUCCGUGCCAGCAGCCGCGGUAAUAC